rnacentral:rRNA from 1 species
AUUGAACGCUGGCGGAAUGCUUUACACAUGCAAGUCGAACGGCAGCACGGACUUCGGUCUGGUGGCGAGUGGCGAACGGGUGAGUAAUGUAUCGGAACGUGCCCAGUCGUGGGGGAUAACGUAGUGAAAAUUACGCUAAUACCGCAUACGAUCUAUGGAUGAAAGCGGGGGAUCGCAAGACCUCGCGCGAUUGGAGCGGCCGAUAUCAGAUUAGGUAGUUGGUGGGGUAAAGGCCCACCAAGCCAACGAUCUGUAGCUGGUAUGAGAGGACGACCAGCCACACUGGAACUGAGACACGGUCCAGACGCCUACGGGAGGCAGCAGGGGGGAAUUUUGGACAAUGGGCGCAAGCCUGAUCCAGCCAUUCCGCGUGCAGGAUGAAGGCCCUCGGGUUGUAAACUGCUUUUGUACAGAACGAAAAGGUUUCUGCUAAUACUAGGAGCUCAUGACGGUACUGUAAGAAUAAGCACCGGCUAACUACGUGCCAGCAGCCGCCGUAAGAC